GGAAAGAGCUCUCCUCCAAUCUCGCACUCAAUGGUGAAGCUACCCGGAUCUUUCUUCUUCGAAAGUAGCUUCAUUGGCAGCUCAGUGCACACAGCUUUCGCCUGCGGGAUUUUCUCAUCCUCAUCACCCAUCUUCUUGGUGUGAACAACUGUCUUUUCUUCUUUCUCCUUGGGAUCCUGCAAUUUUGAGAGAGUUUGAGGCUGUGCACGCCGGUCCGAUUCUUCAAGUAGUCUCUCUAGCUCAUCCACUAUA
rnacentral:lncRNA from 1 species